rnacentral:rRNA from 1 species
CCCUUAGAUGUCCUGGGCCGCACGCGCGCUACACUGAACGGAUCAGCGCGUUUUCCCUUCCCGAGAGGGACGGGUAACCUGCUGAACCCCGUUCGUGGUAGGGAUCGGGGCUUGCAAUUAUUCCCCGUGAACCAGGAAUGCCCAGUAAGUGCAAGUCAUAAGCUUGCGUUGAUUACGUCCCUGCCCUUUGUACACAUCGCCCGUCGCUACUACCGAUUGAACGUUUUAGUGAGGUACUCGGACUGAGCCUCAGAAGAUUCACGUCUUUUGUGCUGCUCGGGAAGAUUCCCAAACUUGAGCGUUUAGAGGAAGUAAAAGUCGUAACA